GGGACAAAAAUGAUUGAGCAACGCUGAUUGUUUUAGUUGUAUCACUGAACGCUUCUUUGUAAUUUUUUCCAUGUUUUUCAAGUAUUGUAUCAUAUAUGCGAAACGCUAAAUACCACGGAAGUAAAGAAUUUGAGUCAAUCGAGGAUGAUUCGAGAACUACGGUCAGACAAAAGCGAAUACUGUUAACGUACCUGAGUUUGAUGUAGGUUGAUACUCCUCUUUCAUUG